UAUAUUUAAUUAUAUCUACAAAGUAAAAAGGACAUUUGUAAAUUUGCUACAGCUUUCAAUUUAUCCUUCAGUUGUUUUUAUUAAUUAUUAUUACACAUUUAAACACAAUGAGUGUUUUCGUUUUUAUGCUGUUCGCAUUUCUCCUUCAAUUUCAUAGUAUGCAAUCAAUUAGUUUCAAAAUUUGCAAUAUGGAUGAAUUGAGACAAGCAUUAGCAUACUUAUGCCAAGAUUAUUCGUGGAUUAAUAGAGAAAUAAGUGUUCCAGUUCAAUCGGAUGUUAAUGGAAUGUGUUGUUAUUAUCCCUGUACCCACGAAAGUAUAUAUUAUCUUUGUGGAACAUACGGUAAUCAGCAAUGGUAAAUGUUAAGAUGUAAGAAAAGACGAACGGAAUAAAUUAUUAUUAUAAUGAUUCAUA